rnacentral:rRNA from 1 species
CAACUUUCAACAACGGAUCUCUUGGCUCUCGCAUCGAUGAAGAACGCAGCGAAAUGCGAUACGUAAUGUGAAUUGCAGAAUUCAGUGAAUCAUCGAAUCUUUGAACGCACCUUGCGCCCCUUGGCAUUCCGAGGGGCACACCUGUUUGAGUGUCGUG